rnacentral:rRNA from 1 species
ACGAACGCUGGCGGCAGGCUUAACACAUGCAAGUCGAACGCGUGUAGCAAUACACGAGUGGCGCACGGGUGAGUAACGCGUGGGAACGUACCUUAGAGUUCGGAAUAACCAUUGGAAACGAUGGCUAAUACCGGAUACUCCCUCCGGGGGAAAGAUUUAUCGCUCUAAGAUCGGCCCGCGUCAGAUUAGCUAGUUGGUGGGGUAACGGCCUACCAAGGCUCCGAUCUGUAGCUGGUCUGAGAGGACGACCAGCCACACUGGAACUGAGACACGGUCCAGACUCCUACGGGAGGCAGCAGUGGGGAAUAUUGGACAAUGGGCGAAAGCCUGAUCCAGCCAUGCCGCGUGAGUGAUGAAGGCCUUAGGGUUGUAAAGCUCUUUUGCCAGGGAAGAUAAUGACGGUACCUGGAGAAUAAGCACCGGCUAACUUCGU